GUUCUCCCAGUGAAGUAUUUUGUUCUGUAAAUGUAUUAAAUUCCGACAAAAUCACGUUAGAUUUACAAAGAGAAGGCAAUGACAAUGGAAAAAUUGAGAUCCGCCCCAUUUUCCGUGCAGUUCUCGCGAUGUUUGGUCGUUGUUCACGUUCACCGUCGACGAGACCUAGCUGUCUGGAAAUUUGUCUCGUGGGUUCGACACAAAACAUUUUUCUUCACAUUUUUCCUCCCGUUGCCAGGCACCGUAGUUGUGUUAUAAUUCCAAACACGCUACUGUCGUUUUUCGGAAUUAAACCGGAGGAAGAAGAACCCAUGGAUGUAACAGGAACGCUCUCGGAGAGCUACCAGACACUCAUUGAUGCUGGGCUACCGCAGAAAGUUGCUGAAAGUCUCGACAACAUCUUUCAGACAGGCCUGGUGGUAUAUGCUGAACUGGAUGAGAGGGCCAUUGACGCUCUGCGCGAGUUCAGCGAGGAGGGUGCACUCGCUGUGCUGCAGCAGUUCAGAGAGAGUGACCUGUCACAUGUGCAGAACAAGAGCGCUUUCCUCUGCGGGGUGAUGAAGACUUACCGACAGAGAGAGAAACAAGGUAGCAAAGUACAAGAGUCCACCAAAGGGCCAGAUGAAGCAAAAAUAAAGGCUCUUUUGGAGCAGACAGGAUACACUCUGGACGUCACCACGGGGCAGAGGAAAUAUGGAGGCCCCCCACCCGAGGAGGUUUUCAAAGGAGUUCAACCAGGGAUUGGGACAGAGGUGUUUGUUGGAAAAAUCCCGAGGGACUUGUAUGAAGAUGAGUUGGUGCCACUCUUUGAGUCUGCUGGCCCCAUCUGGGACCUCAGGUUAAUGAUGGACCCACUUUCUGGUCAGAAUAGAGGUUACGCCUUCAUUACAUUCUGCAAUAAGGAUGAUGCGCAAAAGGCUGUCAAGCUUUGUGAUAACUGUGAAAUUCGCCCUGGCAAGUACUUGGGAGUGUGCAUAUCUGUUGCAAACAAUCGCCUGUUUGUUGGAUCUAUCCCAAAGAAUAAGACUAGAGAAAGUAUAUUAGAAGACUUUGGCAAAGUUACAGAGGGUCUCCAAGAGGUGAUUUUGUACCACCAGCCAGAUGAUAAGAAGAAAAACAGAGGCUUCUGCUUCCUGGAGUACGAGGACCACAAGUCUGCUGCACAGGCUCGACGCCGGCUCAUGAGUGGAAAGAUCAAAGUGUGGGGGAAUCCAGUAACUGUCGAGUGGGCUGACCCUGUCGCAGAGCCAGACCCUGAGGUUAUGGCAAAGGUAAAAGUGCUCUUUGUCAGGAAACUGGCCACAGCAGUGACAGAAGAGCUCCUUGAAAAGACAUUCUCCCAGUUUGGAAAGCUGGAGCGAGUGAAGAAACUGAAAGACUACGCCUUUGUUCAUUUCGAAGAAAGGGAUGCUGCUGUAAAGGCUAUGGAUGAGAUGAACGGAAAGGAGCUUGGAGGUGAAGAAAUUGAGAUUGUCCUGGCGAAGCCUCCAGACAAGAAGAGGAAAGAGCGCCAAGCAGCCCGGCAGACCUCCAGGAAUGCAGGGUAUGACGACUACUAUUACUACCCGCCUCCACGCAUGCCACCGCCAGGACGUGGUAGAGGGCGUGGUGGUCGGGGUGGGUUUUCCUAUCCAGCAGAUUACUAUGGCUAUGAAGACUAUUAUGACGACUACUAUGGCUAUGACUAUCAUGACUACCGUGGUGGCUACGAAGACCCUUACUACGGCUACGAUGACGUAUACAGCAGCAGAGGGCGUGGCAGCCGUCCCAGCAGGGGCGGGCCGCCUCAAUCUCGGGCCCGCGGGGUGCCACCGACCCGAGGCAGGGGAGGCUACGCCCAAAGAGGGCCGCCCCUGGGAGCACCAAGGGGCAGCCGCGGAGGGCGGGGAACCCCAUUCCAGCCACAGAGGGGCCGCGGGCCUCGCGGGGCCCGGGGGAACCGCGGGGGAAACGUCGGUGGCAAGAGGAAGGCGGACGUGUUCAACCAGCCGGACUCCAAGCGCCGGCAGACCAACAACCAGCAGAACUGGGGGUCCCAGCCCAUCGCCCAGCAGCCCCUGCAGCAAGGGGCCGACUAUUCCGGUGGAGAAGCAUUGAGAGAGCAACGCUGCUAGAGUGAAGAACUCACCUGAGCGGUACUCCAGGGUGAGCUAGCCUUGCACAAAGUGCUGUCUCCCCUCCUGUGCCUUAUUGUAAUCACUAGCCAUGCUUAUGCUUUUUUUUUUUUCUAUCUGCUUCCUCCUCUCCUUCGCUCAAGUUCUGUGAGGGCUUCAAUUGUGGGGAUUGAUCCGAGCCACCUGGGUGCUGAAAAUCAAUGCAGAUUGUUAAGCUUUGAAACUAUUAUGACCUGCACCUGCAAACAUUGGCCCUCUACCAACUGUCAUCACGCACAUUUUAAAUAGGAUGGGGGUGCAUGUCUCUUUCUGGUAACAAAACUCUGCCUUCAUUGUUCUUUUUACAACAGGGGUGUCCAAACGUUUUCCACCGAGGGCCACAAACAGAAAAAUUGAGGAAUGUGGGGGCCACUCUGAUAGCUGUGUCCCACUGCGCAGUUUACUGUUCCAAACUUCAGCCGUGUUCAAAUUUUUCGACCGUUCAUCAGGUGGAAUUUUGCCGCUUUUUAGACUUUCAUGGCUGUUGGACGAGUUGUCCGCCUCCAGCCGCAGAACUCACCAUACGGAACAUGAAAAAAAAACAAAAAAAAGCUUUUCCCAGUCGUGACGUGUUUAUAAUUAGGGGUGUCACAAGAUCUCGUGAGAUUAAAACGUGACAAGAUUUUGAAAACUGUCUCAACAGCACCAGGCCUGGGACAGUAAAUACAUGUAAUUAAACACACAAUAAAUGAAAAGAAACCGGGUCAUUUUGCCGGUCUCAAUAUAUUGCCAUGUGCGUGCGUGCCUGUUUUCCUCGUCUCCCGCCUCCAAACAGGCAGGAAGAGAGUUCACUCUGUGCAUUGGUUUCAGCACCUUGGCACAUUUGUUCCAUAGAACAACGGCAUGAAUAGAGUGACCGGCAUAAAGUCUAUUUGUCUUGGUGGGUGGAGGCGGGGCUGCUAGCAUACACACACAGUGCAGAAGUCGAAAUUCAAAUAGUAGAUGUAAUAUAAAGAUGUCAUUUUUCAUGUCGAAAUCUUGACUAGUUCUCAUAGAGCCAAUUUUGUGUCUCGUCUCGUCUCGUCUCGUGACACCCCUAUUAAUAUGAUUACUGAAUUAAUUGCAACAAUUAUAUUUGAGAAAUAUAAAACCCAUUAGCGGCCGCCCCGGGUUAGCAUGUUCCGUCAAAAUUUUGCCUCAGUUUGCGUACCUUUUCCGGUUAGCGUGCAAUAUGGCGAGCGUCUCGUGUUAUUAAUACACUGCGGGAAUCCAACUGUGUUCUUAAAGGUAUCGUUGGGAUUUUUCGACAUGAAGUUGUAUGACAUCCCCAUCAGCAGUGUAGUGCAUCAACGGUGACUUGGUCCCGCGAGUCCAGUUCUGGUCGGAUUUCCGUGACGAGUUCCACUUAGUUGCUGGGUGAGUUUGGCUUCUCAAACCAAUAUGCGAUGUCAUACAACUUCAUGUAAAAAAAAAAAAAAAAAAAAGUGUUUUUAUCACAGAACAUCCUUGUUAGUAUCCUACUAGCUUGCUAAUUACAUGGAAGCAGGAAGCGCCAGUCUAUGAUGUCAUCAGCGGUUGACUGUUGUUCUUUGCUAACUAACACAGUUACGCCACAAGUCUCAAAAAUGUUAGCACAAAACCAGUUUUACAUGCAUAAAACAAUUCAAAAUGAAUAAAAAUGAGGAUUGAAAGGGAUAAACGAGCAUUUAAGGUUACUUUUACCUUCAGUGAAGACGUGAUUGUUGACAAAGACACAACGUGGCAGCGUGGCGAUCAACACAGACACCACCUACAUAUUUUUACUGCGAGUUAUAUAUCUUGUAUUCUCCCCUUCGUUAUCAAAGUGCUGGUACUUGCGGCUUUCUUUGGCUCCAUUUUGGGUUAUUUUGUCGCCAUGAUCAAAAGAAAAGCACACACUUGAGACGAGGAACGCUAUUGAAUUCAAGAAAUAGCUCACGGCAAAACAGGAAGGUGGUAUCCGUGUUGCUCUCUUAUCAACAAUCACGUCUUCAAUGAAGGUAAAAGUGACUUUACACGUCCAUUGUCAUUUAUAAGAUGUAUUUUGGAUAGUUUUAUGCAUGUAAAAAUAUAAAAACGUGUUUGGCGAAACUUGUGGCGUAACUGUCAUGUUUUACGUUCACAUUUUUGGCUUAUUGGAAAAUUUGAUUUCGUAAGAGUAUGUUUCGGUUAGCGACCAGUCCAGGGUGUACCCCGCCUGUCGCCCGAAGUCAGCUGGGAUAGGCUCCAGCAUACCCCUGCGACCCUAAUGAGGAGAUGCGACAUCGAAAAUGGAUGAAUGGAUGGAUGUUUCGGUUAGCGUCUGACCUGGAACAGGUUAAUGACGCUAACCAAGGUUCUAGUGUACUCGCAUAUUUUAUGUCAUAAUAGUGAUCCAAAUACAGUAGUACCUUUUUUGUUUUUGUUAUUAAUUAUAACCAAUAAUUUGAAUCCAAAUUAUUUGUUCGAGAAACCCAACAAUACUAAUGGGAAAAAAAAAACGUUUUAUAGAGAAUACUUUUAGUUUUACGUGCAGAAAACUAUGACAAAUACUUGUAAAUGACGAAUGUUAGUUUUGCCUGUAUUGGCGAGUUGUCGGUGAAGACGGCAAGGAGUGGGGAGAGAGAGAGAGAGACAGUGGGGACGCCAUCUUCGUACUUUGAGAUGAGUUCUUUCUCGAAUUCAAUAGUGUUUCUGACCGUUUUUUUUAAUCCAAUUCCUGACACUUGCAACUUUAUUUGGCCCCAUGGGGGGUUAUUUAGCAAUAAACAAAAAGCAGACAGCGAGUCAGCAAGGUGCUUCGUUUGGGCACAGGGCAAACGGACCAGCUUGUUACGUGCGAAAACUGGGUCGCUGGAAAAUGGAGGUUUGACUGUCACAGUAUUCCAAGAUAGUACCGAGCCGAAUCGAAUUUCAGAACGAGCGACGCGGACCCUCCAGGAGGGUUGUGAUUCGGCGAUGGGCGGAGCCGUUUUGUUUGUAAUUCACACUCAAGCAGACCUUUCUCAUACGUAUUUGGGCGCUGAUCUAUCUACUCUACGUGGCCAAAUAAUUAGCUUGCCACCGUGUGACACCGUCUGAUGUUAAUAUCCACACGGAAUCGACGGCAGUAUAGCACACAGCCUUUAAAGAUGCGUUUCAGGUGACAAAGCAAAUUAGAGGCAGUACUUCACAGUACAUCUGAUUAAUAAUGAAGUUAUUUUAUUUUUACCCUGACCGCACUUUGGACACCUCUGCUUUGCAAGGUGCUGCAUUCACUGUCACGUCCGGAAAUGUCAGCUAUCCACUGAAUGUGAAGUGAAUUGAAUGAUUGGGGACGCGAUUGGCUCAUGUUGGCAACGACGGAUGUGGCACACACUGGUGAUUUGAAGAUGCUCCGGGUAAAUCUCGCCGGUAAGUUUUUCCAACGUACGGAGCCAGAAGUUUUGCACACACCUUACCGAUACCUUUCUGUCCUGUCUGUUUUUGUAUAUGCUUCAGUCUAAUGGCAUUAAGUGCUUCUUCCAAGUGCCUCUAACGUCAGACACUGUCUUUAUCUUUGUCUAUAUGUUCCCUCUUGUCACCAGUAGAAGCAGUACAGCCUGGAGCCACAUCAUAACGAUGUUUGCACAGGCCAGGACGAGUUAUGGACUACAAUCUCCCCAAGGUGCAAGAAAUCCUUCACAAUCCACUACAUGACUACGCAACUAAAGGAAGUAUGCAACGCAGAACCGUAAGGGAACAGAUGGUGUGUGAUGACUACGAGCUCCAUUCAAGCAGCUUUUGUGUCACUCCCCACCAGAAUUUCCGCAAAGUGCAAUCAUCUCAUGAGAUUAUUAUAGAUAUAUAUGUGAAGAAAAAAAGAGAAUGUGUCUUUAUAUAGUAUAUAUUUUAUUCAUAUUAUAUUUUUAUUAUAUACAUAUGUCAUAUGUUUAUAAUAUAUAUUAAUAUAAAUGUAUAAGAAUGAUAUAUAACUAUAAUAUAUUUGUUUUUUACACGUGUACUUUUUGCUGGAAGUUGCGGGGGGCCUGUUUAAGUAUUCAUUAUGAUUGUAGUCAAUCUGGUCAAGAGUCCUAAUUGAAAGACACAAGAUUUUCCUGCACCUUUCACUCAAAUAAAGAAGGUACACUGUAGAACUAUACAUUUUAUUAACAUGGAAUGCACUUUAAAAAAAAAAGUUACAUCUGACUUAAUAAGCUUUUUUUGUGUGUGUUUCUGUAGUUUUGUUGUUUGUACUUUUUCAGUCGGUUUUAACAUAUGUACUUUAACCUAAUUAUGUGUUUAAGUACUGUAAAUCAUACCUGUUACUGAGAAGAACUAAAUCCCACGCAUCUCUAAGACUUAGUCGUUGUAUUUAUUUGGAUUGAAUGCAGUCCAUAACUAAUGGACUGCAUUUAAUGGUAACUUAUAGAUACAGGUACUUUACAAUACAAAACAAAGUGAAGGGUACAGUUAUAAAUCAUAAAUGGCUUGAAAGAGGAGGAUUAAAUACUUUUGUUACAAUUUCUGAUGUUUUAAUAGCUUGCUGACGUAUAAUCUUGAGUGCACGGGGGGGCUCACACUGAAGUAUAGCAAAAUGAAAGUACGCUAUCAGUACCCGGAUGUUGCACUCAAAGCGCACUGAUGAGUGCGCAUUGUUGGACCCUUGAUAGUCGCCAUCUUGGCUCCGUAGCGGUGGAAAGUAGAGAACAAGACGAAGAAGAGAAAGUUAAUUUUGCGAUCGCCAUUUCCGGUACGUACGCAACAACAGUAAUUGAUUUGGGACAGCGGUACACUACUACAAUUGGCGCGCUUAGCAACUAAAAGCACACAGUAUACCUACUGAAUGAAGUAUGUAAUAUGAGAACCAAGUGUUUCCUUUACGGAAAUGUUUUUGGUCCUUGCCGAUGACGUGCAAAUAUGGGCGUAUGGUUGUCAGCGGAGGAGCACUGAACAAUUUUUUGUUUUUUUCCCUAAUAUUGUGAGUUGUAUUUCGAUCAGUGUGCCAUGAUGUGUAGUCACAACACGCAUUGGAUGACUGUAAAUAGGAUUUUAUGUUCAAAAAUGUAUUUAAUUACAUCAAGAAAAUAAAAUUGUUCCCAGAAUGGCUAAUUGUACACUCUUCUUGCAUUCCCUGUUAUUUUCAAUUCGCAAUCGGCUGAAGUGUAACAAAGUUGCUAUCGUUUUUUUUAAUGUUAGAACUUUACUAUUUAAUUUCACUUUGAAUUUACUAUAUUUAAAAAAAGGACAUAAAAGUUAGAGCGCAUCGUCGCUACUAGCAACUUUCGGUAGCCGGUGGUUGCAAGAAGUACUGUGAUGCCGCGCCCUAAUUAAACUGCAGAAGAAGAAUAAGAAGGUGUAUGAUUGGUCCUUUGUGUGAGGGGAACAAUAUAAACAGGAAGUGACGUACUAUGUUUGCAUAGAUAUGAACGUUGAUUAACAUUACUAAUAAAUGAGUGGCAUUUAAUAUAUGAGGAAGAAUACAAGAGGUGGUGUAGUCCACACAUUAGCCUGACGAUGACACUGAGUUAGAUGUGGGGCUGGGUAAUUAAUCUUAAAUUUAUGGUGACAUGAGGUUAUUGGGUUUAUCGGCGGGUUACAAGUGCGAACAUUAGCAACGUCAUGUCCUAUCGCCUUUCUGGUUAAUAGACAUGCAUGUGCGGAUUUGAUAUGGAAUUGGGAUAUAUUGAAACUUUGGUACGGAUUAACUACGUUAUAUAAUUGGCAUGUAAAUGUAUGUAGCCUGCUGUAAAUCUCCGUGGGAUAAUGUGCACUACUGUAUUUCCCCCAAGAUUUCAAACCCACUUGCAUCUUCAUAAUCUGAUAAUAAUAAAAAUAAAUGAUCUUGGGACUAACAAAAAGAAAAUAAACGUGACUAUCUUGAAUUUAAUCAUUGACUGCUCACUCAUCGAACAACGAUUCAAUUAAUUGAUAUUAAUGUACAAACGUUAACUCUAUAGUAACACAUGGUUGUAACACAUCAGAAUUGGUAAAGGGUACAUGUUGAAUACAGGAAAUGAACAAAUGUAUCGGGAAUAGAUGGGAAACGGAGAGGGGGUCCUUUUUGGACGUGGAAUUUUGAAUUGUAACAUGUUUGUAUCCAAA